CUUCCAUGGCAGAGUACUGCAGCUCACCGGGACGGUCCGCCUCCACGGCGUGACCGACCUCCCCUACCAAGAGCAGGCUGACGUCCCUACCUACGCGAUGGAAGUCGUCGUCCAAGACGAGGCUGCGGGCGUGAGCACAGCGACACAGGAUCCACCGCGCGGCGCGGCGCCUGCCGAAAGGGUGGCCGCUGCACCUGUGUUGCAGCACCCUGUUCGGCCACCACGUCGACAGCGACCGCGACGGGUGGAUACCCUGA
rnacentral:lncRNA from 1 species